AACGAACGCUGGCGGCAUGCCUAACACAUGCAAGUCGAACGAGCCCUUCGGGUCUAGUGUCGCACGGGUGCGUAACGCGUGGGAACCUGCCCUUAGGUUCGGCAUAACUCCCCGAAAGGGGUGCUAAUACCGGAUAAUGUCUUCGGACCAAAGAUUUAUCGCCUUUGGAUGGGCCCGCGUUGGAUUAGCUAGUUGGUAGGGUAAAAGCCUACCAAGGCGACGAUCCAUAGCUGGUCUGAGAGGAUGAUCAGCCACACUGGGACUGAGACACGGCCCAGACUCCUACGGGAGGCAGCAGUGGGGAAUAGUGGACAAUGGGCGAAAGCCUGAGCCAGCAAUGACGCGUGAGUGAUGAAGGCCUUAGGGUUGUAAAGCUCUUUUACCCGGGAUGAUAAUGACAGUACCGGGAGAAUAAGCCCCGGCUAACUCCGUG
rnacentral:rRNA from 1 species